rnacentral:rRNA from 1 species
GAUGAACGCUGGCGGCGUGCCUAAUACAUGCAAGUCGAGCGAACAGAUGAGGAGCUUGCUCCUCUGACGUUAGCGGCGGACGGGUGAGUAACACGUGGAUAACCUACCUAUAAGACUGGGAUAACUUCGGGAAACCGGAGCUAAUACCGGAUAAUAUAUUGAACCGCAUGGUUCAAUAGUGAAAGACGGUUUUGCUGUCACUUAUAGAUGGAUCCGCGCCGCAUUAGCUAGUUGGUAAGGUAACGGCUUACCAAGGCAACGAUGCGUAGCCGACCUGAGAGGGUGAUCGGCCACACUGGAACUGAGACACGGUCCAGACUCCUACGGGAGGCAGCAGUAGGGAAUCUUCCGCAAUGGGCGAAAGCCUGACGGAGCAACGCCGCGUGAGUGAUGAAGGUCUUCGGAUCGUAAAACUCUGUUAUUAGGGAAGACCAAAUGUGUAAGUAACUAUGCACGUCUUGACGGUACCUAAUCAGAAAGCCACGGCUAACUACGUG